rnacentral:rRNA from 1 species
CAGUCGCCGCGGGAACACGUAGGUGGCAAGCGUUGUCCGGAAUUAUUGGGCGUAAAGGGCUCGCAGGCGGUUUCUUAAGUCUGAUGUGAAAGCCCCCGGCUCAACCGGGGAGGGUCAUUGGAAACUGGGAAACUUGAGUGCAGAAGAGGAGAGUGGAAUUCCACGUGUAGCGGUGAAAUGCGUAGAGAUGUGGAGGAACACCAGUGGCGAAGGCGACUCUCUGGUCUGUAACUGACGCUGAGGAGCGAAAGCGUGGGGAGCGAACAGGAUUAGAUACCCCAGUAGUCCCUGUCUCUUAUAA